rnacentral:lncRNA from 1 species
AUGUUCUACUACACAGCAGGUGAUAAGGACUUCGGGACUGAGACUUGUGGGGCAGGGUGUGCAGAGCCCUGGGGGUCAGGAGGGCUGGGCCCCUCCUGUUGGAGCUGCAUGACCCCGAGAGACUCAGUCCCUCCGUCAGGCCUCAGGUCCAUUCUGCAAGCCCAGCUUUUAUUCAUGGAAGAGAAGCAGGCAGGCUUGCGUUUAUGGGCUGCUCACGGUGGUAUCCAGCACUUACAGCCCAGCAAAAAAAAAAAAAGGACCAGGAGGAAAUGCACUGAGAUGAGGGCAGUAACUUUCUCUGGUAGUUUGUUUCCUCUUCCAACUAUUUCGUGUUUUUUCUGGUUUUCUCAGGUUCUUUCAGUGACUUUACGUGUAUGUUGAAAGCUUUGUGAUGAACCCUGCGGGGCGACAGAGGCCCUGCUGCUGGGACACUCAGUCUGAUGGAGAAUUAGUCCUUCAUCAACAGACUGACCUGACGCAGCCUGAUCGGGGAGGCUGCCGGGACUCAGACCCAGGGUGUGAUGGAGCUGUCACAAAGGGAAGCCCAGAGGAGGCUCCUGGCUGUGCCUGGAGUGGACGCAGGGCAGUCAGAAGGGCUUCCUGGAGGAGGAGGGCAUCUUCCAGCAGGAGCUUAAAGAGCCUUGUGAAGUUGGAACCUUGCUGGGGGUGGUGGUGCAGGGCAGUUGCUAGGGAGGCAGGUGCACUGGGGCUGGGAGGGCUGUUUGGCUGGACCUGGACGAGGGUGAGCUGAGGAUGGUGAGAGACGCGGCAAGGGGCUGGACCAGAUCCUGAGUGAUAGGGGCAGGGGAGGGUGUGUGCCCCUGCUAGAGUCACAGUUGGCUGCCUCCCCUGGGGGUCCACCCGCCAGCCCCCCGCCCCGAGGGGAGGCAUGGUGUGCUAAGGAGCCCCCAUGACCCUUACCUCUACAGGGACCCUAGGGGGCUGGCCGGGCUGUGGCCCCACUUUACAGAAUGGGGAAAGUGAGGCCAAGCGCAGUAAGUGACCAAGCUUCAGAUCUAGGUCUGUUUGUCCCCAGAGCCCAGCUCGGAACGGCUGGCCUCUCUCCUGCAGCCCUUGCUCGUCACUGGGCUUCCGGUUUGUCAUCUGUAGGGUGGGGAUUAGAACGUGGUGUCUUGGACCAAGUGAUCGCCCUUCGUAGAGCUAAUUGUUAAGUCCAGCCCUUGACAUUCACUAGGUCCAGGAUUUCUGUUUCCUGUGGUUGGAGCAUCACCCAGGAUGGCGAGUUAGGGGGACAGAUGUAAGCAUGGGAGGCACCUUGGAGACAGGGCUCUCAAGAGAACCCACAGAAA